AGCGAACGCUGGCGGCAGGCCUAACACAUGCAAGUCGAACGAACUCUUCGGUGUUAGUGGCGGACGGGUGAGUAACACGUGGGAACGUGCCUUUUGGUUCGGAAUAACUCAGGGAAACUUGUGCUAAUACCGAAUGUGCCCUUCGGGGGAAAGAUUUAUCGCCAUUAGAGCGGCCCGCGUCUGAUUAGCUAGUUGGUGAGGUAACGGCUCACCAAGGCGACGAUCAGUAGCUGGUCUGAGAGGAUGACCAGCCACACUGGGACUGAGACACGGCCCAGACUCCUACGGGAGGCAGCAGUGGGGAAUCUUGCGCAAUGGGCGAAAGCCUGACGCAGCCAUGCCGCGUGAAUGAUGAAGGUCUUAGGAUUGUAAAAUUCUUUCACCGGGGACGAUAAUGACGGUACCCGGAGAAGAAGCCCCGGCUAACUUCGUG
rnacentral:rRNA from 1 species